GCCAUAGCUCAGUGGUAGAGCAUCUGCCUUGCAUGCAGAAGGUCCUGGGUUCGAUUCCUGACAUCUCCA